GGAAUCUUCCACAAUGGGCGAAAGCCUGAUGGAGCAACGCCGCGUGUGUGAUGAAGGGUUUCGGCUCGUAAACACUGUUGUAAGAGAAGAAUGACAUUGAGAGUAACUGUUCAAUGUGUGACGGUAUCUUACCAGAAAGGGACGGCUAACUACGUGCCAG
rnacentral:rRNA from 1 species